rnacentral:rRNA from 1 species
UCCGGAGGGUGCAAGCGUUGUUCGGAAUCAUUGGGCGUAAAGCGCGUGUAGGCGGCCGGGUAAGUCUGAUGUGAAAGCCCGGGGCUCAACCCCGGAAGUGCAUUGGAUACUGCCUGGCUAGAGGGCGAGAGAGGAAAGUGGAAUUCCUGGUGUAGGGGUGAAAUCCGUAGAUAUCAGGAGGAACAUCAGUGGCGAAGGCGACUUUCUGGCUCGUUACUGACGCUGAGACGCGAAAGCGUGGGGAGAAAACAGG